UACGUAGGGUGCGAGCGUUGUCCGGAAUUAUUGGGCGUAAAGGGCGCGUAGGCGGUGCGGUAAGUCACCUGUCGAAACCCCCGGGCUCAACUCGGGGCCUGCAGGCGAACUGCCGUGCUGGAGUGCGGAAGAGGUGAGUGGAAUUCCCGGUGUAGCGGUGAAAUGCGUAGAUAGUCGGGAGGAACACCUGUGGCGAAAGCGGCUCACUGGACCGCAACUGACGCUGAGGCGCGAAAGCUAGGGGAGCAAACAGG
rnacentral:rRNA from 1 species